UGCCGUAGUGGUUAAGGGCUAUGGCUGCUAACCAAAAGGCCGGUGGUUCAAAUCCACC
rnacentral:tRNA from 1 species